AACAGAAUGCACGGGGGGUUGAACCCGUGUCCUUUGUCCUAUAAGCAGCCGUUAUUUUUAUCAACCCUUCCCGCUACGAGAAUUUUCAAGUAAAGGAAAAGAUCAACCACGAAGGGACUCGAACCCUCAAUCUUCUGAUUCGAAGUCAGACGCCUUAUCCAUUAGGCCACGUGGUCGCAUGGAGAGCACUGUCCGCUGAGUGAGUAAUGAAAACGCUUCUGGCGUUUCCGGGGGUAAACAGUGCUGCAGCGGAAUCCUACACAAGCAAAGUAACUGCACAAGGUGCCGUGGUGGUGAUUUUACAGAUGGAUGAUGAACGCCUGAACGCACCAUUGCUUUGUCCUCUGUGAGGCUGGACCGUCUCCUUAGCGGAGGUGAAGAUGAGCAAAGACGCCAGAAGAUGCCAGACUCCUGUUUGAUUGGACGGAGGAAGAAGUGACCAGGAGCAGCAUGAGGCCGAUUCAGAGCUCACCCUGACUUCUCCUGAC